AAGGGAAUCUUCGGCAAUGGACGAAAGUCUGACCGAGCAACGCCGCGUGUGUGAAGAAGGUUUUCGGAACGUAAAACUCUGUUGUUAGAGAAGAACAAGGACGUUAGUAACUGAACGUCCCCUGACGGUAUCUAACCAGAAAGCCACGGCUAACUACGUGCCAGCAGCCGCGGUAAUACGUAGGUGGCAAGCGUUGUCCGGAUCUCUUGGGCGUAAAGCGAGCGCAGGCGGUUUCUUAAGUCUGAUGUGAAAGCCCCCGGCUCAACCGGGGAGGGUCAUUGGAAACUGUGAGACUUGAGUGCAGAAGAGGAGAGUGGGAUUCCAUGUGUAGCGGUGAAAUGCGUAGAUAUUUGGAGGAACACCAGUGGCGAAGGCGGCUCUCUGGUCUGUAACUGACACUGAGGCUCGAAAGCGUGGGGAGCAAACAGG
rnacentral:rRNA from 1 species